CUACGGGCCGCUGCAGUGGGGAAUAUUGCACAAUGGGGGAAACCCUGAUGCAGCAACGCCGCGUGGAGGAUGACGCAUUUCAGUGUGUAAACUCCUUUUAUAUAGGAAGAUAAUGACGGUACUAUAUGAAUAAGCACCGGCUAACUCCGUGCCAGCAGCCGCGGUAAUACGGAGGGUGCAAGCGUUACUCGGAAUCACUGGGCGUAAAGCGAGCGCAGGCGGCCCCUUAAGUUGGAUGUGAAAGCCUACGGCUUAACCGUAGAACUGCAUCCAAAACUGAGGGGCUAGAGUCUGGGAGGGGAAGAUGGAAUUAGUUGUGUAGGGGUAAAAUCCGUAGAGAUAACUAGGAAUACCAAAAGCGAAGGCGAUCUUCUGGAACAGUACUGACGCUGAGGCGCGAAAGCGUGGGGAGCAAACAGGAUUAGAUACCCGAGUAGUC
rnacentral:rRNA from 1 species